AGGCAAUGAUUGCGUAACACCCCUCAUACUUUGCCAUGAUUGUUUAUGUAGUGCUUCUUUUCGCGUCAGCUGUCAAACGUCAAACGUCAAACUCCUGUUUGAAUUAUUUCAUUUUCUCUACAUAUAUUCCAGAAUCGUCUUCGCGACUCGCACCCGAGCCGGCAUUUCGACGCCAUGUUGUUACCAACGAACUCUGUUUCUGGAUUGAAGAGGCUGUGACAGAUAAUCAGUCAACGAACUUCAGUCAACGCGCCAUAUUUUGAUUGAGAAGCAUGCCCAAAACUCAUCAAGAUGUCUCAGUUUCUCGGUUCUAUACUCGAGUGAUAGGCAGAUACACAAUUUUGGGACCGGAAUCGCCGGGGAGAAAGGGGCAGCUUACGACGAAAGUUAGUCAGACGUUGACACGGGACUCUUCUUAGUGCAUUUGCGGAAUUGAUUACCUAUUACAGUAUAAUGAUUAUUAUGUAUUACUAAGUCAUGAUAAACGUCAAUUAUGACAUAUUUAUAUACACUGUACUACGGCGAGUAAUUAAACGAGUUAUCUAGAGUUAUUUGAAGUAGAAGUGUUCUCAAUGAUAUUUUGAUAAGCAUCAAUAAUAAUUCAUGACAAUGAACUCCUUCGUGGAAACGAAUACACAAUGUAUAUCCCAAUGUUUUAAACUGUAUUCGACCCUGUUAAUUUUUCUAAUAAAUGUUUACUCUGACCAA